GGCUGGCUCACAGCUGAGGGCAUGGAGCAAAUGUGACUGGAAGCAGGGUUGCGCGCCGUGGGAGGGCAGGGCAGGGAGCAAGGGGACGUCGGAAAUGCCCCCUCCGGGUCCAGCCAUCCAAAGAGACGGAUCAGCAACAGAGAACCUGUAAGACUGAGCAAGCAAGUUUGGGAGGCAGACUGGAAAGAUUGCCAGCAUCUGGGGAGACUUAAGUAAUGGGAGCUUUUCAGAGGAUGUCCAGGGCAAAGGAUGUUGGUGGGGCAGAGCUGCAGAGGGUGCCAAGCACAUUCCUGCCAUCCGUGAGACAGAGCUAACAAAUGUCUCUCUUCCACAGAUCUUGCGAAGACCAAAGCAGUCCAGCAGCUCAGAAGAAAUCAUUGAAGAAAGUUGCAGGUACAAGCCCUUAGAAGCAAAGCACCCAGAAGCUGGGGGAUGGAUGCUCAGGACUGCUUCAGCCCCUCCCAAUCACGGAGUGGAUUUCAGCCUUCUCCACAGAGUGCCUCUACCCAUCCACUCUUCUGACCUGCCCACCACUCUCCUCCUCGCCUCCCAAGGACACUAAGGUUCAAAAGAAGUCAGCAAAUUGCCCACUAUUAUACAGCUGAAGGUGGCAGGACGAGGGCUUGAUCCCAAUACAGUUACAUCCUGGCUUCUCCUGUUUUUCCGGGUGAAGGAGAGAGUACCUGUGGAUUGUUACCUCAGCAGCUUUUUCUGAUUGAAGAUGAUAAUAUCAUCCAAGAAAAUCAUAGGCAUUAGAGUGUUUGUUGCACAGCAGUUACUGGAGAGAAAGAUGUUCUUUAUUUUGUUUUCAACUUCACAUCUCAGCAGCUUUGCAGAGUGCCUGGUACCUAAAACCUCUCUGUCAUAUCAUAAGAAAAGAAUGUGUGCAUCUUGACCUUCCUUCCCACUGCGGUCCAUCCAGAGCUCCUGGAAAUGAACACCUUUGACAACGGAUCUGUGACACCUGACCCUAAAGACCAGUUGGGCUGAAUAUCUGCCCAACAGAAACAUUUGAGCACAAAAUACAGCUAUUGUCUUAAUGUGUUUCAUCAGUGGGGACUAGUUUGAACAUUCUGUCCUAUAAUUGUUUUCCGGGUUUAGCUUUUUGUCCACUGUGAAGGCAUGAAGCAAGCAUUUUGAGUUCUCAAUCUGGUAAAACACUGAUUGCUACAUUCACUAAAUUGAAUGUGAUGGUUAAUUUUGUGUGUCAACUUGACUAGGGUAGGGAAUACCCAGAUAUUUGCUCAAAUAUUUUUCUGGGUGUUUCUGUGAGGGUACUUUAGUGAGACUAGCAUUUAAAUUGAUAGCCUGAGUAAAGCAGAUUGCUCUCCUAACGUGGGUGAGCCUCACCAAUCGACUGAAGGCCUGAAUAGAACAAGAAGGCUGAGACCUCCUCCAAGUAAGAGAGAAUUCUUCCAGCCUGAUGGCCAUUGAACAGAGACAUUGGCUUUUUUCCUGCUUUUAGAUUGGAACUGAAACAUCAGGUCUUCCUGUGGCUUGAGCCUGCCAGCCUUCAACUAGAACUACACUGUUGGCUCUUUGGGGUCUCCAUCUUGCGGAUUCACCCUGUAGAUCUUGGGAUUUGCCAACCUAACAUAACCAUGUGAUCCAAUUUCUUAUAAUGGAUCUGUAUCUAUAUCCAUAUCCAUAUCCGUAUCUGUAUCCGUAUCUGUAUCCAUAUCUGUAUCUGUAUCUAUAUCUGUAUCUGUCUAUACACAUAUCCUAUUGCUUCUAUUUCUCUGAAGAACCUUGACUAAUAAAAUGGACAAUCGGAAUUUCUGGUGUGGUUUAGGGUAGACAAAAAAGAUCUCCUGAUGGGUAAAGUGGCA
rnacentral:lncRNA from 1 species